UUAUCGACUCAGAUUGAACGCUGGCGGGAUACUUUUACACAUGCAAGUCGAACGGCAGCACGGACAGUCUGGUGGCGAGUGGCGAACGGGUGAGUAAUGUAUCGGAACGUACCCUAAUGGCAGGGAUAACUGCGCGAAAGCGUAGCUAAUACACCAUACGUAUCGAAGGAGGAAAGCGAAGGGGACCUUCCGGGACACUCGCACUAUUAGAGAGCGGCCGAUAUCGGAUUAGCUGGUGGGGCCAGCUUGCGUCACCAGGCGACGAUCAUAGCUGGUUUGAAGGACAGACAAACUACACUGGGACCAGACGCACAGCCCAGAACUCUGGAAACGGCAGUGAAAUUUUACCGGACAAUGUAGGGGAAACCUGAUCCCGGCCAUCCCGCGUGUGCGAUGAAGGCCUUCAGGUUGUAAAGCACUUUGGCAGAAGAAACAACUGGAUAAUACCCCGUGCAACUGACCCGUACCUGCAGAAUAAGCACCGGCUAACUACGUGCCAGCAGCCGCGGUAAUACGUAGGGUGCAAGCGUUAAUCCGGAAUUACUGGGCGUAAAGCGUGCGCGAACGGUUGAAGAAAGAUGUGAAAUCCCAGAGCUUAACUUUGGAACUGCAUUUUUAACUACCGAGCUAGAGUGUGUCAGAGGAGGUGGAAUUCCGCGUGUGUGUAAACAAUGCAUAGAUAUGCGGAGGAACACCGAUGGCGAAGGCGGCCUCCUGGGAUAACACUGACGCUCAUGCACGAAGAAAGCGUGGGGAACAGGAUUAGAUACCCUGGUAGUCCACAGCCUAAACGAUGUCAGCAGCAUUCCGGGGCCUUUGAGCCUUGGUAGCGCAACUAACGCGUAAGUUGACCGCCUGGAGAUACAGUCAUGAUUAAAACUCAAAGAAUUGACGGGGACCCGCACAAGCGGUGGAUGAUGUGGAUUAAUUCGAUGCAACGCGAAAAACCUUACCUACCCUUGACAUGUCUGGAAUCCCGAAGAGAUUUGGGAGUGCUCGCAGAGAACCGGAACACAGGUGCUGCAUGGCUGUCGUCAGCUCGUGUCGUGAGAUGUUGGGUUCUGGUCCUGGCGACAACCCUUGUCAUUAGUUGCUACGAAGGGCACUCUAAUGAGACUGCCGGUGACAAACCGGAGGAAGGUGGGGUUGACGUCAAGUCCUCAUGGCCCUUAUGGGUAGGACUUCACACGUCAUACAAUGGUCGGGACAGAGGGUCGCCAACCCGCGAGGGGGAACAAUCCAGAAACCCGAUCGUAGUCCGGAUCGCAGUCUGCAACUCGACUGCGUGAAGUCGGAAUCGCUAGUAAUCGCGGAUCAGCAUGUCGCGGUGAAUACAGUUCCCAGGUCAGCCUUACACCAUGCCGUCACACCAUGGGAAUUGGUUUACGAAAUGGUCCAGCUAAUGCCAGCAAGAGCGAUUACAGGAUUCAUG
rnacentral:rRNA from 1 species